AUUCCAGCUCCAAUAGCGUAUAUUAAAGUUGUUGCAGUUAAAAAGCUCGUAUUUGAAUUUUUGUCUGUUGGGGCCUUGUUCUGUCCUUAGUGGCGGAGUUUAGUGUCCCGACGGACUUCCUGGGGGCCAACUAGUUGGUGUUUCAUUACACUGAUUAGGGAACCCCCUCGUUUACUGUGAAAAAAUUAGAGUGUUUCAAGCAGGCGUUUCGCAUUGAAUACAUUAGCAUGGAAUAAUAAGAUAGGACUUUGGUGCUAUUUUGUUGGUUUGCACACCAAGGUAAUGAUUAAGAGGGGCAGUUGGGGGUAUUCGUAUUAUCAUGUCAGAGGUGAAAUUCUUGGAUUUUGGUAAGACGAACUACUGCGAAAGCAUUUACCAAGGAUGUUUUCAUUA
rnacentral:rRNA from 1 species